AUGCCGCGUGAGUGAUGAAGGCCUUCGGGUUGUAAGCUCUUUUGGCGGGGACGAUGANACGGUACCCGCAGAAUAAGCCCCGGCUAACUUCGUGCCAGCAGCCGCGGUAAGACGAAGGGGGCUAGCGUUGUUCGGAAUUACUGGGCGUAAAGCGCGUGUAGGCGGUUGUCCAAGUCGGGUGUGAAAGCCUUGAGCUCAACUCAAGAAAUGCACUCGAUACUGGGCGACUUGAGGACCGGAGAGGAUAGUGGAAUUCCCAGUGUAGUGGUGAAAUACGUAGAGAUUGGGAAGAACACCAGUGGCGAAAGCGGCUAUCUGGACGGUUACUGACGCUAAGACGCGAAAACGUGGGGAGCAAACAGGAUUAGAUACCCUGGUAGUCCAAGCCGUAAACGAUGGGUGCUAGACGUUGGCGAGCUUGCUCGUCAGUGUCGCAGCUAACGCGUUUAGCACCCCGCCUGGGGAGUACGGGCGCAAUGUUGAAACUCAAAGGAAUUGACGGGGGCCCGCACAAGCGGUGGAGCCUGUGGUUCAAUUCGA
rnacentral:rRNA from 1 species